rnacentral:rRNA from 1 species
GACGAACGCUGGCGGCGUGCUUAACACAUGCAAGUCGAACGAAGAGCGAUGGAAGCUUGCUUCUAUCAAUCUUAGUGGCGAACGGGUGAGUAACGCGUAAUCAACCUGCCCUUCAGAGGGGGACAACAGUUGGAAACGACUGCUAAUACCGCAUACGAUCUAACCUCGGCAUCGAGGAUAGAUGAAAGGUGGCCUCUACAUGUAAGCUAUCACUGAAGGAGGGGAUUGCGUCUGAUUAGCUAGUUGGAGGGGUAACGGCCCAACAAGGCGAUGAUCAGUAGCCGGUCUGAGAGGAUGAACGGCCACAUUGGGACUGAGACACGGCCCAGACUCCUACGGGAGGCAGCAGUGGGGAAUCUUCCGCAAUGGACGAAAGUCUGACGGAGCAACGCCGCGUGAGUGAUGACGGCCUUCGGGUUGUAAAGCUCUGUUAAUCGGGACGAAAGGCCUUCUUGCGAAUAGUUAGAAGGAUUGACGGUACCGGAAUAGAAAGCCACGGCUAACUACGUG